ACGCUCGACACCUACGGAGGCAGCAGUUGGGAAUAUUGGACAAUGGAGGAAACUCUGAUCCAGUGACGCCGCGUGAAGGAAGAAGGUCUUCGGAUUGUAAACUUAUUUUGUCAGGGAAGAAAAAAUGACUGUACCUGAAGAAAAAGCACCGGCUAACUACGUGCUAGCAGCCGCGGUAAUCUGAGCGGGCUGGCAAGGC
rnacentral:rRNA from 1 species